rfam:Echinostoma caproni strain Egypt genome assembly, scaffold: ECPE_scaffold0036193
GUCCCGGUGGCCUAACGGAUAAGGCGUCGGUUUCCGAAGCCGGAGGUUGAGGGUUCGAGUCCCUUCCGGGACG